UACGAAGGGGGCGAGCGUUGUUCGGAAUUACUGGGCGUAAAGGGCGCGUAGGCGGCCGAUCAAGUCAGAUGUGAAAGUCCUGGGCUUAACCUGGGGACUGCAUUUGAUACUGAUUGGCUUGAAUUCGGGAGAGGAUAGCGGAAUUCCCAGUGUAGAGGUGAAAUUCGUAGAUAUUGGGAAGAACACCGGUGGCGAAAGCGGCGCACUGGACCACAACUGACGCUGAGGCGCGAAAGCUAGGGGAGCAAACAGG
rnacentral:rRNA from 1 species